rnacentral:rRNA from 1 species
GACGAACGCUGGCGGCGUGCUUAACACAUGCAAGUCGAACGGAGUGGCGAACGGGUGAGUAACACGUGGGUGACCUGCCCUGCACUUCGGGAUAAGCCUGGGAAACUGGGUCUAAUACCGGUUAGUGUGGGAUGGGCCCGCGGCCUAUCAGCUUGUUGGUGGGGUAAUGGCCUACCAGGGCGGCGACGGGUAGCCGGCCUGAGAGGGUGGACGGCCACAUUGGGACUGAGACACGGCCCAGACUGCUACGGGAGGCAGCGGUGGGGAGUAUUGCGCAGUGGGCGGAAGCCUGAUCCAGCGACGCCGGGUGGGGGAUGACGGGCUUCGGGUUGUAAACUCCUGUCGCCGUCGACGCGGUAGAUGGAGAGGAAGCACCGGCUAACUACGUGCCAGCAGCCGCGGUAAUAC